rnacentral:misc_RNA from 1 species
GGCAAUUUUAUUGUGGCUAGAAGCAAAUGAUUUGAUCCAGCAGUAAACACAUCACAGAUGUAGUAAAUGUAAUCAUUGUGAAAUCAAUUUGUGCAAUCUCAAUUUCAUCAAACACUGAAUUUUAUCCUCAUUGCUACUACAUGUAAUGACUAGACCUGUGUUGAGCGUUUUAAAGUUUUUAAUUUGCUUUAUAUUGGAGAGAGAAAGAAAUCAACCAAGCAAUAUUUUAUUAGACUGAUUUUGUAACAUUGAAUUAAAAAAUUUUUCCGUGAAACACGUACAAAUAAAGAAGGAAAUCCAUGUUUUGCAAUAUGCGUUCAUUAUUAUUAACUCCUCUUUUUUUCAAGGCUAUGUAACUUUCAGAUAUAGUUAUUAUAUGCAUAUUUUAAAAAAUGCUAUUCAAAGAACAUAUAAUUCAUGUACCAUAGUUAAAUAAUUUUCUUUAUUUUAAUGCUUGUAUGUUUGUAUCCAUUUUAUUACUUGCUCCAUUGAUUAAUUAACAGUUUCAGGUUUCAUUUGUCAACUUGUAAUAAAGUGCUUUGUUGUAUUUAAGAUACAAUGAACCUGCAGUAAUGUUAAGAAAUUAAAUAAUACUUUACCUGCUCAUUUAUGUAUACUAUUUAUUUGUACCAUUAAAUUUGAAGUGACAUCUUGAUAAAACCAUUGAAAAAUG